UUUUAGUGUCCGGUCAAACAAUUAUGAGUUUUUUUAACUUUUCCACCCUUUCCAUCUCCUUACUUCCAGGUAAGGCACCCCUUUCUCAAAGGACUGUGCGUAGUCCCGCAGGGCCCGCUCCUCCUCCAGGAACUUGGCGUCCCGUCCAUCCCCAGCUGGCUGGAAGAGGCCAUAGUUGUAUACAUCCCACAGCGACUCACUGAGGGAUAAGAUGAUCUGCUGCUUAGCGCUCCACACCGUGCAGUCUUGGUCAAACUGGAGACACCUCUGACAGAUGGGCAACAUGGAGCAUAGUGGAGUCCAGAGCCGGAGGACAGAGCUGCAGUCGGGCUUAACAAGAGGGCUGAGGGGUCUAAAUCAGAUGUGUGCAUCUAUGCUAUUGUUCCAUUCCAGAGCAGUGUUGCGCAAGACAAGACAAUCACUGUACUUUUUCCUACUUCCUUUUGGGACUCGUCCCUGGGCUUGUGGGAUGACUGGAAUGAAAAAAAGCUUUGAAAUAAGAGAUGCGCUUGCACAGUUAUGCACACUGUUUGGCUAAUGUACAAAAAUGAGUGCAUCAAGUACCCCUGAGUACAUUUCAGCAACUAAUUUGAAACAGAUGUAGAGUCAACAACGCAGCAAUAAAAGAGAAAAAUGUUUUCAUUUAGAAAUGUAAAAUAAAUUGGAUUUGGAAAGGAAAUGUGAAUCAGUGAAUCAUUUAAGCUUCCCCAGCUGCCCUGUUUGUGACUGUUUUUCAUUCUAGAUACACUUUUAAACGUUCGGCUUUUGAUUUGAUUGUUCAUUUUUCAAAUUGUU